ensembl:lncRNA
CACAGAGAUCAGCCCGUCCAGCCCCCCUCAUUUCACGCUCAGGGAAGUUGAGACCCGGAGCAUCUGGCGACCUGCGAUCAGAUGUGGGUUGGAGGACGCGCACUCGGGUCUGUGACUCCGACUGCAGCCGCACUCCCCACCCUGCUCCUCACUCCUUCCUAGAACCUGGGAAGAGGGAUCUACACUACCCUACACUCAGACCCGCCCUGGGCUCAAAGGUCUCAGCAAAGAAUGUGCUCCUUCAGCUUGGACCCCCUCAAGGGCAGAAGAGAUAAACUCAGGAAGGUGCUGACUCUACCUACCUUCCCCUCCAGGUCUGAAGGGCUCUCCUAACCAGCCUUAUCCCCUCUCCUGAGUUGUGGCAGAGGAUCUAGGUAUGAUGCCCACAGAAAAGCAGAAGUCUUCACUUGCCAACAAUGCCACGAGGUAGGGGUGAUGACCAUCCCCAUUUUACAGAUGAGGCAACUGAGGUGCAGAAAGAUAACCAACCAACCAGCUGGGCUGUCCCUAACCCCAAAACCUGGACUCCUCCCACUGCCCCAGAAGAAGGACUAAGGACUCCCAGCACAGUGCUCCCAGUGCGGGCUUCUGUAAGACUAAGAACCCCACGCAGCUCUGAUAAGGCUGACUUCCUACCACCCUGACGCCAGCUGCCGCCUCGGCCCCUGCUGAGCCCACUGUGUGUAAUUUGGUGCCAAUUAGGAAUGAGUGGGAACCAUUAGUGCAUUUAAUUCCCAACCUAGAAACAGGCUCUGGGAAGCUAAGCUGCAAUUAGCUGAGUUGCCUCCCCCAGGCUGCCCCAGCCACCCUUUUCUCACCGCUGAGCCCCUGCCUUUGAUGGGAACCAUCCACCAACCACUUCGAGAACCCCUCCUAGGGAUCCAGGAGAUCCGGAUGGGAAUUUGACGUGGACCCUGCCCUUGAGCAGGAAAUGAAAAUGGAGCAUUGAGCACCAGCUGUGGCUCCAGCUACAGAGGACACAGGAAAAUCAAGCCCUGGCUCAUGGAGCCUUCACUCUGAUGGGAAAGACAGACAACAGACAGUAAAGCCAUAAUAAAAAAUAUCCAUGAAAGUGAAGCAGUGUGAUGAGACAUGGAGGGACUGGAGGGGGUGACCAAAAAAUGGUGGUCCCUAUUGUUUUCAUGACUACUAUUUUAUGUGUUCAGUUGGGUCUUGAAAGCCCAAUGGGACAGAUC